AGAGCGAACGCUGGCGGCGUGCUUAACACAUGCAAGUCGAGUGCGCAGCUUUCUGUAGCAAUACAGGAAGUCGGCGCACGGCGCACGGGUGCGUAACACGUGGGCAAUCUGCCCUCGGAUGGGGGAUAACCCCGCGAAAGCGGGGCUAAUACCGCAUGAUAUUCCGGAGACCUCGGUUUCUGGAUUCAAAGGUCGCAAGAUCGUCUGAGGAGGAGCCCGCGCCCGAUUAGCUAGUUGGUGAGGUAACGGCUCACCAAGGCUUUGAUCGGUA
rnacentral:rRNA from 1 species